rnacentral:lncRNA from 10 species
CUGGUGGGAAGUGAUUGAAUUAUGGGGGCAGAUCUUUCCUGUGCAGUUCUCAUGAUAGUGAAUGAGUCUCAUGAGAUCUGAUGGUUUUAAAAAGAGGAGAUUCCCUGCACAAGCUCUCUUUUUGCCUGCCACCAUCCAUGUAAGAUGUGACUUGCUCCUCCUUGCCUUCUGCCAUGAUUGUGAGGCCUCCCCAGCCACUUGGAACUGAAGCAAACACUGCUAUUGCCACCUUUUUGCAGAGGAAGGUACUGAGGUGAAGCGACUUGCCCAAACCCUACAAAAAAUUGGAAAUUUUCAAAAAAAAAAAAAAAAAAGGGAAAAGGAAGGAAGAGAGAAAAGGAAAUUGGCCCUUCUGCACAAAGAAGUUGAGAAGAGUGGUCUUCAAUGAAUCAGGCUUGACCUAGUCCUUGCAGAUGAGUAAGACUUCCACAGCUAACUAUGUGAAAGAAGGGUGGAACGAGGACAGUCAGCAGCAUCUAUUCAGAAGGGGGGAUUCCGGGAACAAAUGAAGACAAACACAACUUGUGCAGUUGGAAGAUAUGAAGU